rnacentral:rRNA from 1 species
UACGAAGGGGGGCGAGCGUUGUUCGGAUUUACUGGGCGUAAAGGGCGCGCAGGCGGCUCAUUUUGUCAGGCGUGAAAGCCCCGGGCUUAACCUGGGACUGCGUUUGAUACGGAUGGGCUAGAGUUCGGGAGAGGAGAGUGGAAUUCCCAGUGUAGAGGUGAAAUUCGUAGAUAUUGGGAAGACACCGGUGGCGAAGGCGGCUCUCUGGACCGAUACUGACGGCUGAGGCGCGAAAGCGUGGGGGAGCAAACAGGG